CCUACGGGAGGCAGCAGUUAGGAAUCUUGCGCAAUGGGGGAAACCCUGACGCAGCGAUGCCGCGUGGGCGAUGAAGGCCUUCGGGUUGUAAAGCCCUUUUAGUCGGGAAGAAAGAAAUGACGGUACCGACAGAAAAAGCACCGGCUAACCCUGUGCCAGCAGCCGCGGUAAUACAGGGGGUGCAAGCGUUACUCGGAAUCAUUGGGCGUAAAGAGCGUGUAGGCGGUUUGGUAAGUCGAAUGUGAAAGCCCCGGGCUUAAUCCGGGAAGUGCAUUCGAUACUGCUAGACUAGAGUACAGGAGAGGUGAACGGAAUUUCUGGUGUAGAGGUGAAAUUCGUAGAUAUCAGAAGGAACAACAGUGGCGAAGGCGGUUCACUGGACUGUAACUGACGCUUAGGCGCGAAAGCGUGGGGAGCAAACAGGAUUAGAUACCCUGGUAGUCCACGCUGUAAACUAUGGGUAUUAGGUGUCGGGAGUUCUUACCCUCUCGAUGCCGUAGCUAACGCGUUAAAUACCCCGCCUGGGAAGUACGGUCGCAAGAUUAAAACUCAAAUGAAUUGACGG
rnacentral:rRNA from 1 species